rnacentral:rRNA from 1 species
UGAGGUUAAGCGACUAAGCGUACACGGUGGAUGCCCUGGCAGUCAGAGGCGAUGAAGGACGUGCUAAUCUGCGAUAAGCGUCGGUAAGGUGAUAUGAACCGUUAUAACCGGCGAUUUCCGAAUGGGGAAACCCAGUGUGUUUCGACACACUAUCAUUAACUGAAUCCAUAGGUUAAUGAGGCGAACCGGGGGAACUGAAACAUCUAAGUACCCCGAGGAAAAGAAAUCAACCGAGAUUCCCCCAGUAGCGGCGAGCGAACGGGGAGCAGCCCAGAGCCUGAAUCAGUGUGUGUGUUAGUGGAAGCGUCUGGAAAGGCGCGCGAUACAGGGUGACAGCCCCGUACACAAAAAUGCACAUGCUGUGAGCUCGAUGAGUAGGGCGGGACACGUGGUAUCCUGUCUGAAUAUGGGGGGACCAUCCUCCAAGGCUAAAUACUCCUGACUGACCGAUAGUGAACCAGUACCGUGAGGGAAAGGCGAAAAGAACCCCGGCGAGGGGAGUGAAAAAGAACCUGAAACCGUGUACGUACAAGCAGUGGGAGCACGCUUAGGCGUGUGACUGCGUACCUUUUGUAUAAUGGGUCAGCGACUUAUAUUCUGUAGCAAGGUUAACCGAAUAGGGGAGCCGAAGGGAAACCGAGUCUUAACUGGGCGUUAAGUUGCAGGGUAUAGACCCGAAACCCGGUGAUCUAGCCAUGGGCAGGUUGAAGGUUGGGUAACACUAACUGGAGGACCGAACCGACUAAUGUUGAAAAAUUAGCGGAUGACUUGUGGCUGGGGGUGAAAGGCCAAUCAAACCGGGAGAUAGCUGGUUCUCCCCGAAAGCUAUUUAGGUAGCGCCUCGUGAAUUCAUCUCCGGGGGUAGAGCACUGUUUCGGCAAGGGGGUCAUCCCGACUUACCAACCCGAUGCAAACUGCGAAUACCGGAGAAUGUUAUCACGGGAGACACACGGCGGGUGCUAACGUCCGUCGUGAAGAGGGAAACAACCCAGACCGCCAGCUAAGGUCCCAAAGUCAUGGUUAAGUGGGAAACGAUGUGGGAAGGCCCAGACAGCCAGGAUGUUGGCUUAGAAGCAGCCAUCAUUUAAAGAAAGCGUAAUAGCUCACUGGUCGAGUCGGCCUGCGCGGAAGAUGUAACGGGGCUAAACCAUGCACCGAAGCUGCGGCAGCGACGCUUAUGCGUUGUUGGGUAGGGGAGCGUUCUGUAAGCCUGCGAAGGUGUGCUGUGAGGCAUGCUGGAGGUAUCAGAAGUGCGAAUGCUGACAUAAGUAACGAUAAAGCGGGUGAAAAGCCCGCUCGCCGGAAGACCAAGGGUUCCUGUCCAACGUUAAUCGGGGCAGGGUGAGUCGACCCCUAAGGCGAGGCCGAAAGGCGUAGUCGAUGGGAAACAGGUUAAUAUUCCUGUACUUGGUGUUACUGCGAAGGGGGGACGGAGAAGGCUAUGUUGGCCGGGCGACGGUUGUCCCGGUUUAAGCGUGUAGGCUGGUUUUCCAGGCAAAUCCGGAAAAUCAAGGCUGAGGCGUGAUGACGAGGCACUACGGUGCUGAAGCAACAAAUGCCCUGCUUCCAGGAAAAGCCUCUAAGCAUCAGGUAACAUCAAAUCGUACCCCAAACCGACACAGGUGGUCAGGUAGAGAAUACCAAGGCGCUUGAGAGAACUCGGGUGAAGGAACUAGGCAAAAUGGUGCCGUAACUUCGGGAGAAGGCACGCUGAUAUGUAGGUGAGGUCCCUCGCGGAUGGAGCUGAAAUCAGUCGAAGAUACCAGCUGGCUGCAACUGUUUAUUAAAAACACAGCACUGUGCAAACACGAAAGUGGACGUAUACGGUGUGACGCCUGCCCGGUGCCGGAAGGUUAAUUGAUGGGGUUAGCGCAAGCGAAGCUCUUGAUCGAAGCCCCGGUAAACGGCGGCCGUAACUAUAACGGUCCUAAGGUAGCGAAAUUCCUUGUCGGGUAAGUUCCGACCUGCACGAAUGGCGUAAUGAUGGCCAGGCUGUCUCCACCCGAGACUCAGUGAAAUUGAACUCGCUGUGAAGAUGCAGUGUACCCGCGGCAAGACGGAAAGACCCCGUGAACCUUUACUAUAGCUUGACACUGAACAUUGAGCCUUGAUGUGUAGGAUAGGUGGGAGGCUUUGAAGUGUGGACGCCAGUCUGCAUGGAGCCGACCUUGAAAUACCACCCUUUAAUGUUUGAUGUUCUAACGUUGACCCGUAAUCCGGGUUGCGGACAGUGUCUGGUGGGUAGUUUGACUGGGGCGGUCUCCUCCUAAAGAGUAACGGAGGAGCACGAAGGUUGGCUAAUCCUGGUCGGACAUCAGGAGGUUAGUGCAAUGGCAUAAGCCAGCUUGACUGCGAGCGUGACGGCGCGAGCAGGUGCGAAAGCAGGUCAUAGUGAUCCGGUGGUUCUGAAUGGAAGGGCCAUCGCUCAACGGAUAAAAGGUACUCCGGGGAUAACAGGCUGAUACCGCCCAAGAGUUCAUAUCGACGGCGGUGUUUGGCACCUCGAUGUCGGCUCAUCACAUCCUGGGGCUGAAGUAGGUCCCAAGGGUAUGGCUGUUCGCCAUUUAAAGUGGUACGCGAGCUGGGUUUAGAACGUCGUGAGACAGUUCGGUCCCUAUCUGCCGUGGGCGCUGGAGAACUGAGGGGGGCUGCUCCUAGUACGAGAGGACCGGAGUGGACGCAUCACUGGUGUUCGGGUUGUCAUGCCAAUGGCACUGCCCGGUAGCUAAAUGCGGAAGAGAUAAGUGCUGAAAGCAUCUAAGCACGAAACUUGCCCCGAGAUGAGUUCUCCCUGACCCUUUAAGGGUCCUGAAGGAACGUUGAAGACGACGACGUUGAUAGGCCGGGUGUGUAAGCGCAGCGAUGCGUUGAGCUAACCGGUACUAAUGAACCGUGAGGCUUAACCUU